ACGUAGGUGGCAAGCGUUGUCCGGAUUUAUUGGGUUUAAAGGGUGCGUAGGCGGUCCAUUAAGUCAGUGGUGAAAUACGGCAGCUUAACUGUCGAGGUGCCAUUGAUACUGGAGGACUUGAGUACAGACGAGGUAGGCGGAAUUGACGGUGUAGCGGUGAAAUGCUUAGAUAUCGUCAAGAACACCGAUAGCGAAGGCAGCUUACUAGACUGUAACUGACGCUGAGGCACGAAAGUGUGGGGAUCAAACAGG
rnacentral:rRNA from 1 species